ensembl:lncRNA
GGGUUAUUUUAAGUCAUGCCCAAUCAAAAGUAAUAAUCCGGCGUACGGAUAUAAACUUCGAGGGUCUCCCGGGGGUCGCGGUUUCCCAGAUGUCUCUUUGGCAGUCAUGCACAGGUCUCUGUUUACGCUGGAAAUGAAUGUAGACACCUGCUGUGGAAAAAACAAAGCGGUGAUGACUCCAGUGAAGCAGACCCCCACUGACUCUGGAUCAGCCUCAUAAUGGAUGCGGACCACACAGGACCCAAACUCUGAGUCUGCAUGUCGCAGCCAUUUCCUCUUGUAAUAUAGGUCAACCACAGCCAAGAGCGAAUGUCUGUCUCCUGUUGUUUAUCGAUCUGCAGUGGUUGGUGGCUGGGUUUCACCCCGGUGAGUAUAUGGUUACAACACCCUUAACUGCAGCCAUUACGGGUCGAGGACUUGAAUAAUGAAUCAUAUUUUCCAUGGUGGGGACCCGUCUGCUGUUCUGACCACAGGGAU